UAAGACGGAGGGGGCAAGCGUUGUCCGGAAUCACUGGGCGUAAAGGGUGUGUAGGCGGACUGGAAAGUCAUCGAUGAAAUCCCCUGGCUCAACCAGGAGGCGUUCGGGAAACUUCCAGCCUUGAGGACGGGAGAGGAGAGCGGAACUCGUGGUGUAGCGGUAGAAUGCGUAGAUAUCACGAGGAACGUCAAAGGCGAAGGCAGCUCUCUGGAACGCUCCUGACGUUGAAACACGAAAGCUAGGGUAGCGAACAGGAUUAGAUACCCUGGUAGUCCUAGCCAUAAACGAUGUGCACUAGGUGUCUCUGCAUUAGUGGAGGUGCCGCAGGUAACCCAUUAAGUGCACCGCCUGGGGAGUACGCUCGCAAGGGUG
rnacentral:rRNA from 1 species